rnacentral:rRNA from 1 species
UACGUAGGUGGCAAGCGUUGUCCGGAUUUAUUGGGUUUAAAGGGUGCGUAGGCGGUUCCAUAAGUCAGUGGUGAAAUACGGCAGCUCAACUGUCGAGGUGCCAUUGAUACUGCGGAACUUGAGUACUGAUGAGGUAGGCGGAAUUGACGGUGUAGCGGUGAAAUGCUUAGAUAUCGUCAAGAACACCGAUAGCGAAGGCAGCUUACCAAGCAGUAACUGACGCUGAGGCACGAAAGUGCGGGGAGCGAACAGG